rnacentral:rRNA from 1 species
AUACGGAGGAUCCGAGCGUUAUCCGGAUUUAUUGGGUUUAAAGGGUGCGCAGGCGGCCAUUUAAGUCAGCGGUUAAAUCGUGGGGCUCAACCCCAUUCUGCCGUUGAUACUGGGUGGCUUGAUUGCGGUCGAGGUCGGCGGAAUUCGUUGUGUAGCGGUGAAAUGCAUAGAUAUGACGAAGAACACCGAUUGCGUAGGCAGCUGACCAGACCGCAAAUGACGCUCAUGCACGAAAGUGCGGGGAUCGAACAGGAUUAGAUACCCUGGUAGUCCGCACAGUAAACGAUGAAUACUUGUUUUCGGCGAUAUAAUGUCGGAGGCAAAGCGAAAGCGAUAAGUAUUCCACCUGGGGAGUACGCCGGCAACGGUGAAACUCAAAUGAAUUGACGGGG